GUGGCUAAUCUGCAUAUGCACAUUAGCUCUAUUACCUAUUAGCGGAUUUAAAAGAUUUAAAACAAAGAGGAAGUAGGAAAAGAACUACAUUUCCCAUCUGCCCUGGCUGUCACAGAUUAAUAGCACCAGCUGCUUUCCAUUGCCCUAAGGAGUGAUUCUACUGCUGCAACGAGACCAAAUACAACGAAAGAUUCUUACUGAGGUGCUGUUUUCCACAUGCAGUGCUUGGCUGUGUUGGAGGCCACCAAGAAAGACUUCCUGGCUGUCAUGUGGAAGCUAAGUGGGCUGGGGUCAAGAGGAUUUCUGGCCAUGGUGCUUGUGCUGCAGUGAUCUUGUUCUCCAUCACACUCCAACACAGGUAGCCAUCUUCACCCUCUCCCAAGAGGUGAUGGUACGACUCUGAAUAAACACUCUAUUAUUAUAAAUAAAGUGUGACUGUGUCUUGUAGUCCACCCACCAACCUUUUUCUGUUCAGUGGUUUGACUUGUGCUACACACAGGUGAGUCCAGUUAUGCUGCAAGAAGUGUAAGUAUGAUGGGGUUGACGAGUGGGAGGAGAGGUUCUUCCUGUGCAAGGUGCUGCUCUCUCUUCUUUCAGCAUAGCUCCUGGUCUCAGAACAGGUUUAGUUCAUCGUUGCUGGUGUUGUGUAGAGGAUGUUAUAUUGUGAAAGUCACAACUAUCCCCGCUCAAGGUCUUGUGAAAUAUUUGACCUUAUUUGUGACUAUAUUCACCAUGAUACUUUCAGCGGUUACUACAUUAGUGUCCUUAAUUUUUUACUAUUUAAAGAUUGUUUAAAAGUUUAUUACAGGCUCAAUGAAUGUUCUUCUCCUUCACUAGAAGAUAAAGGCCCGGUUUCACAGACAGGGUUUACAUUAAGCCAGGAUUAGAUCUUCAAUAAAUUAGGACAUUUCAGUAGCUUUUAUAAACGUGUCUUUAGAAAAAAAUAUUUCUGGUGCACAUCCUGAGAUAAAACAAUGGCACUGACGUGUUUUAAGAUCCGUCCGUGCAAGUAGCUUUCAGUUAAAACAGCUCAAACAUACAUUUUAGUCUGGGACUAGGCUUAAGCCUUGUUUGUGAAACCAGGGGGAAAAAGAAGGGUGUGCUUUAUUAUGCUCUCUGCAGAAUAUGACAGAAGAAAUGUGACCCACACCUGUAACUAUAAAAAGCAGAUAGAAUUGCAGUUAGCAUGAAACCUCAAAUGUGUAGCUGGGCUGGAAAUUUAUUUUUGUAUGCAUGUAUAAUAUUUUUUCUCUUACAGAUGGACCAGCAAACAGAUUUAAAGGCUGUUGUGAAUGAUGGGUUACAGAAAUGUCUUCCUGUGUUUAUUAUUAUCUGAAGUUAUAUAUUCUGAUUUGUAAGCAAGAUUAUGAAGUCUCCUUUUGCUAAUCAUUUUACAGCAUUAUUAAAAAGUCCAUGUACACAAUGUUUAUCCCGAGUGCCUUUUUGAUGUAUUUUAUUAUCCUGCACAAAGCAAAAACACAAUCUGAGUGUAGAUGCCCCUCGUAAACAUUAAUAUAGUAAGAGCAAAUGGACAAGUGAAACUAAUCAAUAUAAAAUCUCUAAAGAAGGGCAUGAUGGUACUGAUUUUCUUUUUACACACAUGGUAUGCACGUACUUGGAGUAAAUUUUAAUGAACAGAAUAUGGGUUCUAUUCAGUACUUGACAAAUGAUUCAGUGCGGAUCAAAUGUGAACAAAUGAGCCAUGAAUGUAUCUGUGUUCUAUAU